UGCAAGUCGAGCGGUAAGGCCCUUCGGGGUACACGAGCGGCGAACGGGUGAGUAACACGUGGGUGAUCUGCCUUGCACUUCGGGAUAAGCCUGGGAAACUGGGUCUAAUACCGGAUAUGACCUUCCAGUGCAUGUUGGUUGGUGGAAAGAUUUAUCGGUGCGAGAUGGGCCCGCGGCCUAUCAGCUUGUUGGUGAGGUAACGGCUCACCAAGGCGACGACGGGUAGCCGACCUGAGAGGGUGACCGGCCACACUGGGACUGAGACACGGCCCAGACUCCUACGGGAGGCAGCAGUGGGGAAUAUUGCACAAUGGGCGAAAGCCUGAUGCAGCGACGCCGCGUGCGGGAUGACGGCCUUCGGGUUGUAAACCGCUUUUGACAGGGACGAAGCGCGAGUGACUGUACCUGUAGAAUAAGGACCGGCCAACUACGUGCCAGCAGCCGCGGUAAUACGUAGGGUCCGAGCGUUGUCCGGAAUUACUGGGCGUAAAGAGCUUGUAGGCGGUUCGUCGCGUCGUUUGUGAAAACUUGGGGCUCAACCUUAAGCUUGCAGGCGAUACGGGCGGACUAGAGUACUUCAGGGGAGACUGGAAUUCCUGGUGUAGCGGUGAAAUGCGCAGAUAUCAGGAGGAACACCGGUGGCGAAGGCGGGUCUCUGGGAAGUAACUGACGCUGAGAAGCGAAAGCAUGGGUAGCAAACAGGAUUAGAUACCCUGGUAGUCCAUGCCGUAAACGGUGGGUACUAGGUGUGGGGCUCCUUCCACGGACUCCGUGCCGUAGCUAACGCAUUAAGUACCCCGCCUGGGGAGUAC
rnacentral:rRNA from 1 species